CAGCAGCCACGGGAAUACGGAGGAUCCAAGCGUUAUCCGGAAUCAUUGGGUUUAAAGGGUCCGUAGGCGGUCUUGUAAGUCAGUGGUGAAAGCCCAUCGCUCAACGGUGGAACGGCCAUUGAUACUGCAGGACUUGAAUUAUUGGGAAGUAACUAGAAUAUGUAGUGUAGCGGUGAAAUGCUUAGAGAUUACAUGGAAUACCAAUUGCGAAGGCAGGUUACUACCAAUUGAUUGACGCUGAUGGACGAAAGCGUGGGUAGCGAACAGGAUUAGAUACCCGCGUAGUCCCUGUCUCUUAUAC
rnacentral:rRNA from 1 species